GCACGGCCGCAGGAAGCUCCGCACCGCUCCCGCCCCGCGCCGCGCCGCGGCUCCGGCGGUGAUAAAGUGCAGGGUAAGCGGGUGCCACUGUACAGAAAUAGCUGACAUGAAACCCACAGAAGAAGGCUCCCUUCAAAGACACUAUUUGGCAUGCAAAGUGCCCUGGAUGCACAGACAUGCAUGCUGAGGAGAAACUCAGCUCUACAUGAGUAAGCAGAUUUUACACCAUCAGCAUAUGAGCACAGAGCUGGUGCAACAGAGAUUCCCACGUUCAGCAGAUGGCAGAAAAGCCCCAUGCACUGACCCACAAUGGCAGUAAACAGAGAAGCUCUGAUCCUUCAUUGCUCACAAUUGGUGUUGCACUGUCCUCAGAGCUCACAAAACCAUCCCCUCUGCUCACCAGAGCAGGGCUCCAGCCAUGCCUCCUGGGGAAUAAAUUCCCAAAUGCAAGUUUUUCUCUACAAGGUGUCCACCCAGUUGACUACAGUUGUUGAUGUACAAUUGUUGUUGAUGUUUGUGUUGAUGCGUGUCCACCCACCCAACCAUAAUUGUUGAUGUUUGUGUUGACUAUUUGUUGUUAAUGUUUUAUAUCUUUGUAAAUUGUUAAUACUCGUAGCUGUUUGCCCCUUACCCCAUCCCAGUACCCACUCUCACAUCCACACACACCUCCCCUACCCACUUCAAAAUGGGCACAGCAGCAAGUGAUCAUGGGAUACCACUCUGUGACAAAAACCCCUAAAAACAACGAGCCAGUAAAACAUUUAAGGCUAAAAAAUGGUACUCCCAAGUGGGGAAAACAGUGGAGAGGAUGGAAUAACCAAAGAGAGCUUUUUUGCCUUGUCGCCAUGGCUUCAACAGCACUCGGUUGGCAUGACAUCCCUAGACCAAGAGUCAGCAAAGUCUUCCUAGGGACUUUUGCAAGGACAGAACCCUGAGCUCUGUUGUUGGGCAGAGCUGAUUUCCUCCUCCUUUGCGUUGUCCACUGGGGACAGCGGUGGUGUGUGCGACCCCUCGG